GCAAAGGUCCAUCUGUUUUCCCUCUGAUGCCUUGCUGUAGUUCUCUGACAUCUGAUGCUACCAUUGGAUGCUUGGCUUCUGGAUUUCUUCCUCAACCGGUAAAAAUCCAGUGGAAGUCCGGAUCAGGAACUGAUCCUAGCAAGAUUAAGAACUUUCCAGCAGUUAUGCAGCAAAGUGGUGUCUUCGUCUCCAGUAGUCAAGUGACCAUUCCCAUUUCUAGAUGGAAUUCUGAAUCUUUUACUUGCACUGUGACACAUGAAUCAACAGGCACCGAAGUCACCAAAGAGCUAAGAGACACGGGUUGCAAUAGAACACCAAAGAUCACCAUUAUUCCUCCUACUCAAAAAGAUUUGACAUUAUCAGCGAACGUAAAUCUUACUUGCAUGGUUACUAACCUAGCAACUAUAAACAACAUCAAAAUGAAAUGGCAAGUAAAUGGAGAAGAUAGAACUGAAAAUGAGCCAUCAUCAGUUAAACAGUCAGAUGAUACUCAUUCAUUGACCCUAACACUGGAAAUAAAAUCCAGCGAGUGGUACAAGAAUACCUACAAUUGCAGUUUUGACAGUGGCAACAUCAAACUGAAAGCAGUGUCAGGGGAACGGACAGGCACUGAAAGAAAACCAUCUGUCUUUAUGUAUUCACUUCAUAAAGAUGGUAAAAGUAGUAUUUGCUCGGACAAGGAUACUACUUUUAUAAGCAUUGUCUGCCUUGUUAAGGGCUUCAGUCCAAAAGAUAUCUACGUUACCUGGCAAUACAAAGGGAAUAAUAACACAAAUGUAUUAAACAGCGAACCCCAGCUGGAUAUUGAAGCAAGAGACAACACAUAUGUCCUGUUCAGUAUGAUCACCAUUCCAAAAAAAGAUUGGUGCAACUUUGUAUCUUAUACCUGCAAUGUGCAUCACAUGAUGAAUAAUCGUAAGGGAAGUCAGGGGAACAUAUCUAAAUCAACUAUUGAUAAUGGUAACUGCUGAUUUUAUUUCUUUUUCUCACAUCUCUGUCCAUUCCAUAUGUAAUAGCAAUUAUCUAUAGUACACAAAUAUUGACCCUGUCCCACAGCAUUACUUCCUUGUCCCACAUCAGACACACAAAGGAGUCUGAUCCGGUGAUACCUGCUCGUCUGAGCACUUCCAUUCCCCUAGAUCUUCCUGUGUAUAUUAUUAAUGCCAGUACCAUGUGUAUGUUCAGAUAAUUACCUUUUCCUGUGCUUUCACCCAAGCAAACAAUCUCUUAGCAUGUUCUAUACCAAACAUGCUUUUGGCUUUUCUGCAUCCAAAUAUAUAAUCUGUUAAUCAUUUUUGAUCAUUUAUAAAAGCCCUUGUAUGUCUGAUACUGUGUCUUAUUGAGUCUAAGCCUAAAUAAAUCAUUAAUUUGAAAUGUUCAA